rnacentral:rRNA from 1 species
UACGUAGGGUGCGAGCGUUGUCCGGAAUUACUGGGCGUAAAGAGCUCGUAGGUGGUUUGUCGCGUUGUUCGUGAAAACUCACAGCUCAACUGUGGGCGUGCGGGCGAUACGGGCAGACUAGAGUACUGCAGGGGAGACUGGGAAUUCCUGGUGUAGCGGUGGAAUGCGCAGAUAUCAGGAGGAACACCGGUGGCGAAGGCGGGUCUCUGGGCAGUAACUGACGCUGAGGAGCGAAAGCGUGGGGGAGCGAACAGG